GCAACAGGAGCGGUAGUGUGGUAGCGCGAGGACAGGCCACUCACUUACACGCAGUCUACCUGCUUCCUUGCUUCUACAGCUGACACAGGAAAUUUCCGAAGCGUCUUUGUAGAAAAAAAAAUUAUAAUUGAGUUUUUAUUAAAAAACAUCGUUUCUACAGCAAAUGGAAGAAUAAUGACAUUCUUCUUAUUAAGAACAGUUAACAAAGACUUUACUUAACAGAAGAUAAAAAAUAAACUUUUUUUUCUGUUGUUUUUAUAUGAUCUUAAUCUAAACCAGUGAAAUAAGAAGACACUACUUUGUAAAAAACAUCUAUAUAGAGGUGACAAAAGGAGAGAGAAAUAAAUCAUAAAAAAAGCGAAAUAAAGAGAGAAAUAAAAGAAAAACACACAUAGAAAAAAAAAA
rnacentral:lncRNA from 1 species